rnacentral:pre_miRNA from 1 species
UUUUUACUCCCUCCGUUCGGAAUUAUUUGUCUCGGAUAUGGAUGUAUCUAGAACUAAAAUACAUCUAGAUAUAUCCAUUUCUGCGACAAGUAAUUCCAAACGGAGGGAGUACAAA